UGGGUAGCGAAGAUGAUCAGAUACCGUCGUAGU
rnacentral:rRNA from 1 species